CCCGACCUCCUUUGUCGCGUCUCCGGCGCGGCCGUGCAUCCCGUGCAUCAUGUGAUGGCCUCCUCUGCCGCGCGACGGUGGUAGCCAACCUGCACUGCGGCCGCUGCAUCGCCUACGAUCUUCUUCAUCAGUGCAUCUCCCACCUGAUCGACGCCGACGCCACGGUCCUCGAGCAGAACAGGGUUUGGCAGUUAAUCCAUGUUACUGGAGAUUGAAGAUUUUUAGCAGGAUUUC